UUGACCUCAAAUCAGGUAGGACUACCCGCUGAACUUAAGCAUAUCAAUAAGCGGAGGAAAAGAAACUAACAAGGAUUCCCCUAGUAACUGCGAGUGAAGCGGGAAAAGCUCAAAUUUAAAAUCUGGCGGUCUUGCGGCUGUCCGAGUUGUAAUCUGGAGAAGCGUUUAUCCGCGUCGGACCGUGUACAAGUCUUCUGGAAGGGAGCGUCGUAGAGGGUGAGAAUCCCGUCUUUGACACGGACAACCGGUGCUUUUGUGAUGCGCUCUCGAAGAGUCGAGUUGUUUGG
rnacentral:rRNA from 1 species